CAGGCUUAACACAUGCAAGUCGAGGGGCAGCAGGAUCUAGCAAUAGAUUGCUGGCGACCGGCGCACGGGUGAGUAACACGUAUCCAACCUGCCGAUAACUCGGGGAUAGCCUUUCGAAAGAAAGAUUAAUACCCGAUAGUAUAAUCAGACCGCAUGGUUUGAUUAUUAAAGAAUUUCGGUUAUCGAUGGGGAUGCGUUCCAUUAGGCAGUUGGUGAGGUAACGGCUCACCAAACCUUCGAUGGAUAGGGGUUCUGAGAGGAAGGUCCCCCACAUUGGAACUGAGACACGGUCCAAACUCCUACGGGAGGCAGCAGUGAGGAAUAUUGGUCAAUGGACGCGAGUCUGAACCAGCCAAGUAGCGUGAAGGAUGACUGCCCUAUGGGUUGUAAACUUCUUUUAUAUGGGAAUAAAGUUUUCCACGUGUGGAAUUUUGUAUGUACCAUAUGAAUAAGGAUCGGCUAACUCCGUGCCAGCAGCCGCGGUAAUACGGAGGAUCCGAGCGUUAUCCGGAUUUAUUGGGUUUAAAGGGAGCGUAGGUGGACAGUUAAGUCAGUUGUGAAAGUUUGCGGCUCAACCGUAAAAUUGCAGUUGAUACUGGCUGUCUUGAGUACAGUAGAGGUGGGCGGAAUUCGUGGUGUAGCGGUGAAAUGCUUAGAUAUCACGAAGAACUCCGAUUGCGAAGGCAGCUCACUGGACUGCAACUGACACUGAUGCUCGAAAGUGUGGGUAUCAAACAGGAUUAGAUACCCUGGUAGUCCACACAGUAAACGAUGAAUACUCGCUGUUUGCGAUAUACAGUAAGCGGCCAAGCGAAAGCAUUAAGUAUUCCACCUGGGGAGUACGCCGGCAACGGUGAAACUCAAAGGAAUUGACGGGGGCCCGCACAAGCGGAGGAACAUGUGGUUUAAUUCGAUGAUACGCGAGGAACCUUACCCGGGCUUAAAUUGCAUUUGAAUAUAUUGGAAACAGUAUAGCCGUAAGGCAAAUGUGAAGGUGCUGCAUGGUUGUCGUCAGCUCGUGCCGUGAGGUGUCGGCUUAAGUGCCAUAACGAGCGCAACCCUUAUCUUUAGUUACUAACAGGUCAUGCUGAGGACUCUAGAGAGACUGCCGUCGUAAGAUGUGAGGAAGGUGGGGAUGACGUCAAAUCAGCACGGCCCUUACGUCCGGGGCUACACACGUGUUACAAUGGGGGGUACAGAAGGCAGCUACCUGGUGACAGGAUGCUAAUCCCAAAAGCCUCUCUCAGUUCGGAUCGAAGUCUGCAACCCGACUUCGUGAAGCUGGAUUCGCUAGUAAUCGCGCAUCAGCCAUGGCGCGGUGAAUACGUUCCCGGGCCUUGUACACACCGCCCGUCAAGCCAUGAAAGCCGGGGGUACCUGAAGUACGUAACCGCAAGGAGCGUCCUAGGGUAAAACUGGUAAUUGGGGCUAAGUCA
rnacentral:rRNA from 1 species